AGGGAGACCUAAUUCAGGUAUGGGACGAAAAAAAAGUAGUCGCUACCAAGAAUCAAUCCCAAAAGGUCGGAGCGAGGUAUGAGGCUUUCAAACUAGGUUCUGGGUUCAAACAAGACCUGAAUCAGGAACAAGGGCUAUUAGCUCAGGUGGUUAGAGCGCACCCCUGAUAAGGGUGAGGUCCCUGGUUCGAGUCCAGGAUGGCCCACCUGCACAGGUGGCAAAAAAAAGAAAAGAAGCGAGGAAUCAGCACCUUAUCUUAUCUAUAUAUAAGAGAGAAUGCUGGCUCUGAGUACAGAGUCCAGAGGAACCUUGAAAACUGCAUAGAGCUAGGUGAAAAAGCCAAAAAAGAAGACCGCAA
rnacentral:tRNA from 1 species